GUUCAGUUGUUGUUUUGGAAGCGAGUUAAGUUUCGUUUUUGUCUCGUAAAAUAAAAGUUUUCCCUCCGCGGGAUUCUCCACUAACCGUCCAGAGAGGAAGAAGCACCGACUACUUUCACCAUAGCCGGCUGGUCACUCCCCAUUCCUCCCGUUAUAGCAAAUACAGGACUGCUGAUCCAGCAGGGGGCGCCCGCGACGAACGUGUUUUGGGCAGCAGGAGGCGGGCUUUACUGCUAGAGCGGGAUGAUUGACUGGCGAGCGGAGCAGCUCAUUGGCUGGUCGCGCUAACUGACGUCAUGGACAUGCA